UACAGAGGGUGCAAGCGUUAAUCGGAAUUACUGGGCGUAAAGGGCGCGUAGGCGGCUCGGUAAGUCGGGUGUGAAAGCCCCGGGCUCAACCUGGGAACUGCAUUCGAGACUGCCUGGCUAGAGUAUGAUAGAGGGAAGCGGAAUUCCACAUGUAGCGGUGAAAUGCGUAGAUAUGUGGAGGAACAUCAGUGGCGAAGGCGGCUUCCUGGAUCAAUACUGACGCUGAGGCGCGAAAGCGUGGGGAGCAAACAGG
rnacentral:rRNA from 1 species